GAUGAACGCUGGCGGCGUGCCUAAUACAUGCAAGUCGAGCGAACGGACGAGAAGCUUGCUUCUCUGAUGUUAGCGGCGGACGGGUGAGUAACACGUGGAUAACCUACCUAUAAGACUGGGAUAACUUCGGGAAACCGUAGCUAAUACCGGAUAAUAUUUUGAACCGCAUGGUUCAAAAGUGAAAGACGGUCUUGCUGUCACUUAUAGAUGGAUCCGCGCUGCAUUAGCUAGUUGGUAAGGUAACGGCUUACCAAGGCAACGAUGCAUAGCCGACCGGAGAGGGUGAUCGGCCACCCGAGAAGUGGGACACGGUCAAGACGCCUAAGAGAGGCAGCAGUAGGGAAUCUUCCGCAAUGGGCGAAAGCCUGACGGAGCAACGCCGCGUGAGUGAUGAAGGUCUUCGGAUCGUAAAACUCUGUUAUUAGGGAAGAACAUAUGUGUAAGUAACUGUGCACAUCUUGACGGUACCUAAUCAGAAAGCCACGGCUAACUACGUG
rnacentral:rRNA from 1 species